ACUCCUACGGGAGGCAGCAGUGGGGAAUCUUGCACAAUGGGCGAAAGCCUGAUGCAGCGACGCCGCGUGAGCGAUGAAGCCCUUCGGGGUGUAAAGCUCUUUCGACGGGAACGAUAAUGACGGUACCCGGAGAAGAAGCUGCGGCUAACUACGUGCCAGCAGCCGCGGUAAUACGUAGGCAGCGAGCGUUGUUCGGAAUUACUGGGCGUAAAGAGUGUGUAGGCGGUGCUCCCAGUCUGUUGUGAAAUCUCCCGGCUUAACUGGGAGGGUGCAGCGGAAACUAGAGUGCUAGAGGGUGGGAGAGGUAAGCGGAAUUCCUGGUGUAGCGGUGAAAUGCGUAGAUAUCAGGAGGAACACCUGUGGUGUAGACAGCUUACUGGACCACUUCUGACGCUGAGACACGAAAGCGUGGGUAGCAAACAGGAUUAGAUACCCUGGUAGUCCACGCCCUAAACGAUGCAUACUUGGUGUGAGCGAUUCAUUUCGUUCGUGCCGGAGCUAACGCGUUAAGUAUGCCGCCUGGGGAGUACGGUCGCAAGGCUGAAACUUAAGGAAUUGACGG
rnacentral:rRNA from 1 species